rnacentral:rRNA from 1 species
UACAGGGGGGGCAAGCGUUGUUCGGAAUUACUGGGCGUAAAGGGGUUUGUAGGUGGCUUGCUUAGUCAGACGUGAAAUCCCUCAGCUUAACUGGGGAACUGCGUCUGAUACUGCCGUGCUUGAGGACUGGAGAGGAGACUGGAAUUCCCGGUGUAGCGGUGAAAAUGCGCAGAUAUCGGGAGGAACACCGGUGGCGAAGGCGGGUUC